rnacentral:rRNA from 1 species
UACAGAGGGUGCGAGCGUUGUCCGGAAUCACUGGGCGUAAAGCGCGUGUAGGCGGCCAGGUAAGUCCGUUCUGAAAGCCCGGGGCUCAACCCCGGGAGGCGGAUGGAUACUGCUUGGCUCGAGUCCGGAAGAGGCGAGUGGAAUUCCCGGUGUAGCGGUGAAAUGCGCAGAUAUCGGGAGGAACACCAAUGGCGAAGGCAGCUCGCUGGGACGGUACUGACGCUGAGACGCGAAAGCGUGGGGAGCAAACAGG